CCCACUUCUUCCAGAAGCUGUGUGGCCACUGAGACUUUUUUUUCUCAGGGUUUGGCAUCAAGUGUGAAUGUUAGCUGAUGCCCGAGUGAAGGGCUUCAUUUAUUUAUAUGCUGCAGUUUUAGAACAUGGCAAAUUUCUCUGCUGUCUGCUUGAUGAGUAUCAGAUCUUAGAAGUAUUUGUUAUCUUGACAACUGGCACCACAUUCCUCAGGAAGGCAUUUAAAUCAAAACCCAGAAAAUAAUGGCAUGUAACUGAGGACUUCCAAAAUCUACCUCCUCUCUGUUUGUGUUGUUAAAAAUCUACAGAACGAUAAAACAACAGCCUGGAAGGGACCUUUUGAAAACACUUGGUCAAACCUCCCUGUUCAAAGCUUCAAAUAUCGAGUCCAUACAGGGAUGCUGCACAGUUUGGGUAGGACAUGCCCCCUUCUGACAGGUCUUUGGCAAGCUGUACGACCUUUGGCUCUCAUGAAGUCCACAGUUUCUCCUAAGGGCAUCUAUAUUUGAGUUAUCCUCUAAUGGCCCUUGUUGUCACCCCAGGAAGGGCUGCCAGCCCCAUCCUUAAAUGCCACCUGAAGAAAGGAGGAGCCUGCCAACUUCCAAACAAAUAAAUUACGAAGACACAAGCAGCCACUAUGCAGAGACCAGGCUUUUAAUUAAGGCUGAUUGAUGUCUUUGUGGCAGAGAGCCAGACGUAGCGAUGGUGCACGCCAACACUCUCAGACUAUGAGCCGAGCAAGCUUCUAUCUAUCUCCAAGCAUAAAGUAAUGAAGAAACGCACUUAUCUGCUGGAUGGACAAUGGAUAAAAAUGUUGUUCAGGACAUCUUUUUCUCCAAAAAGUCUCCAAGCUGUUUUAUGAGCACAACAUCUGUUUUCUGACCCAUGCGAAUGGUGACAUCUGUCUAACGGGCUCAGCGCCUGCUCAUGGCUUGCAAAUACGACA